UACGAAGGGGGCUAGCGUUGUUCGGAUUUACUGGGCGUAAAGCGCACGUAGGCGGUUUGUUAAGUGAGAGGUGAAAUCCCAGAGCUCAACUCUGGAACUGCCUUUCAUACUGGCAAGCUAGAGUCCGGAAGAGGUAAGUGGAACUCCUAGUGUAGAGGUGGAAUUCGUAGAUAUUAGGAAGAACACCAGUGGCGAAGGCGGCUUACUGGUCCGGAACUGACGCUGAGGUGCGAAAGCGUGGGGAGCAAAC
rnacentral:rRNA from 1 species